rfam:Cajanus cajan Scaffold127018_1, whole genome shotgun sequence.
CGGCCCAGAGAAGUAAGCGACGAAAUGUUUUGGGGAGUUAAAAAAAUAAGCAUAGGUCCAGGAAUUCCCGAUAUAGAUUAACCUUUCAAAUUACUGCUGAAUCCAUGGGUAGGCAAGAUACAACCUGGUGAACUGAAACAUCUUAAUAACCAGAGGAAAAGAAAGCAACAACGAUUCCCGUAGUAGCGACGAGAGAAAGGAGA